rnacentral:rRNA from 1 species
ACGUGGGUAACCUGCCCAUCAGAAGGGGAUAACACUUGGAAACAGGUGCUAAUACCGUAUAACACUAUUUUCCGCAUGGAAGAAAGUUGAAAGGCGCUUUUGCGUCACUGAUGGAUGGACCCGCGGUGCAUUAGCUAGUUGGUGAGGUAACGGCUCACCAAGGCCACGAUGCAUAGCCGACCUGAGAGGGUGAUCGGCCACACUGGGACUGAGACACGGCCCAG